GACGAACGCUGGCGGCGUGCCUAAUACAUGCAAGUAGGACGCAGUUGCGAACGGGUUAGUAACGCGUAGGUAACUGCCUAUUAGAGGGGGAUAACUAUUGGAAACGAUAGCUAAUACCGCAUACUAGUAGAUGGACCUGCGUUGUAUUAGCUAGUAGGUAGGGUAAUGGCCUACCUCGGCGACGAUACGUAGCCGACCUGGGAGGGAGUGCGGCCAAACUGGGAAUGGUACACCGCCCAGAAUUCUACGGGAGGCAGCAGUAGGGAAUCUUCGGCAAUGGGGGGAACCCUGACCAAGCAACGCCGCGGGAGUGAACAAGGGUUUCGGAGUGGAAAGCUCUGUUGUGAAGGAAGCGGUACUUAACCAGAAAGGGACGGCUAACUACGUGCCAGCAGCCGCGGUAAUUC
rnacentral:rRNA from 1 species